UAGCUUACAACAGACAUUGAUCCGGCCACAUUUCCAGCCACUACAGUCAAUGAGUCUCACAAUGCCACGGCAUUACUACCAGCAAGCACCAGCAAUGAAUCCUUAUCAAUAUGCAGGUACUGGUGGUAGCUUACAACAGACAUUGAUCCGGCCACAUUUCCAGCCACUACAGUCAAUGAGUCUCACAAUGCCACGGCAUUACUACCAGCAAGCACCAGCAAUGAAUCCUUAUCAAUAUGCAGGUACUGGUGGUAGCUUACAACAGACAUUGAUCCGGCCACAUUUCCAGCCACUACAGUCAAUGAGUCUCACAAUGCCACGGCAUUACUACCACCAAGCACCAGCU